rnacentral:rRNA from 1 species
AGUGAACGCUGGCGGUAGGCCUAACACAUGCAAGUCGAACGGCAGCACAGUAAGAGCUUGCUCUUACGGGUGGCGAGUGGCGGACGGGUGAGGAGUACAUCGGAAUCUACUUUUUCGUGGGGGAUAACGUAGGGAAACUUACGCUCAUACCGCAUACGACCUACGGGUGAAAGCAGGGGAUCUUCGGACCUUGCGCGAAUGAAUGAGCCGAUGUCGGAUUAGCUAGUUGGCGGGGUAAAUGCCCACCAAGGCGACGAUCCGUAGCUGGUCUGGGAGGAGGGUCACCGACACUGGAACGUGAACACGGUCCAUACUCCUGCGAUAGGGAGCAGUGUGGAAUAUUGGGCAAUGGGCGCAAGCCUGAUCCAGCCAUACCGCGUGGGUGAAGAGGGCCUUGGGGGUGUAAAGACCUUUUGUUGGUAAAGAAACGCAUCAGGUUAAUACCCCGCGGUUCUGACGGUACCCAAAGAAUAAGCACCGGCUAACUUCGUG